rnacentral:rRNA from 1 species
UACAGAGGUCUCAAGCGUUUGUUCGGAUUCAUUGGGCGUAAAGGGUGCGUAGGUGGCGGGGCAAGUUUGGUGUGAAAUCCCGGGGCUCAACCUCGGAACUGCACUGAAUACUGCCUUGCUAGAGCACUGGAGAGGGAACUGGAAUUUACGGUGUAGCAGUGAAAUGCGUAGAUAUCGUAAGGAAGACCAGUGGCGAAGGCGAGUUCCUGGACAGUUGCUGACACUGAGGCACGAAGGCUAGGGGAGCAAAGCGGG